AACGAACGCUGGCGGCAGGCUUAACACAUGCAAGUCGAGCGCCCCGCAAGGGGAGCGGCAGACGGGUGAGUAACGCGUGGGAAUCUACCCAUCUCUACGGAAUAACGCAUGGAAACGUGUGCUAAUACCGUAUACGUCCUUCGGGAGAAAGAUUUAUCGGAGAUGGAUGAGCCCGCGUUGGAUUAGCUAGUUGGUGGGGUAAAGGCCUACCAAGGCGACGAUCCAUAGCUGGACUGAGAGGAUGAUCAGCCACACUGGGACUGAGACACGGCCCAGACUCCUACGGGAGGCAGCAGGGGGGAAUAUUGGACAAUGGGCGCAAGCCUGAUCCAGCAAUGCCGCGUGAGUGAUGAAGGCCCUAGGGUUGUAAAGCUCUUUCACCGGUGAAGAUAAUGACGGUAACCGGAGAAGAAGCCCCGGCUAACUUCGUGCCAGCAGCCGCGGUAACAC
rnacentral:rRNA from 1 species